CCUCGGAGGCCCGCGCAUGCGCAGGACCAGCCUUCAGAGCGGCAGAGGGGCCGGCGAGCUGGAGAGCUGCGUGACGCGUGCACCGGAGGCAGGGUCCCUGGUGCAGAGGUGGCGGCUGCGCUGGUUUGUGUGGGUGGAUUGUCGGUUUCUGGAUCCUUCCUCCAGGAUUUUCAGCGCUGGGGAGCUCUCCUUUCUGCAGUGUGGAGGAGCGCUGGGCAGGAGGCGGCACUGAGUUCCAGGGCAAGUUACCUGUGGCUCCUGAGUGCUGCUCCUUGGCCUGGAAGGCCCUUCCUUCACCCCAUCCACCCU